rnacentral:rRNA from 1 species
AUACGUAGGGGGCAAGCGUUGUCCGGAAUUAUUGGGCGUAAAGCGCGCGCAGGCGGUCAUUUAAGUUUGGUGUUUAAUUCCAGGGCUCAACCCUGGGUCGCACUGAAAACUGGGUGACUUGAGUACAGAAGAGGAGAGUGGAAUUCCACGUGUAGCGGUGAAAUGCGUAGAUAUGUGGAGGAACACCAGUGGCGAAGGCGACUCUCUGGGCUGUAACUGACGCUGAGGCGCGAAAGCGUGGGGAGCAAACAGGAUUAGAUACCCUGGUAGUUCACGCCGUAAACGAUGAGUGCUAGGUGUUAGGGGUUUCGAUACCCUUGGUGCCGAAGUUAACACAUUAAGCACUCCGCCUGGGGAGUACGGUCGCAAGACUGAA